AACAAACGCUGGCGGCGUGCCUAACACAUGCAAGUCGAACGCGAAAAUCGGCUUCGGCCGAUGAGUAAAGUGGCGCACGGGUGAGUAACGCGUGGAUAAUCUACCCUUCAGUUGGGAAUAACUUAUCGAAAGGUGAGCUAAUACCGAAUAAAACUGCCUGACCACGGUCGGGUAGUCAAAGAUAGCCUCUGCUUGCAAGCUUUCGCUGAAUGAUGAGUCCGCGUACCAUUAGCUAGUUGGUGGGGUAAUGGCCUACCAAGGCGACGAUGGUUAGCUGGUCUGAGAGGAUGAUCAGCCACACUGGAACUGAGACACGGUCCAGACUCCUACGGGAGACAGCAGUGAGGAAUCUUGCGCAAUGGGGGAAACCCUGACGCAGCAACGCCGCGUGAGUGAGGAAGGUCUUCGGAUCGUAAAGCUCUGUCGGGUGGAAAGAAAUGUAUGGGGUUAAUAGCCUUCAUACUUGACGGUACCACCAAAGGAAGCACCGGCUAACUCCG
rnacentral:rRNA from 1 species